AACGCACAUUGCGCCCGCUAGUAUUCUGGCGGGCAUGCCUGUUCGAGCGUCAUUUCAACCCCUCAAGCCCUGCUUGGUGCUGGGGCCCUACGUGCGCCGUAGGCCCCGAAUUACAGUGGCGGGCUCGCCGCGAUCCCGAGCGUAGUAACACACCUCGCUCUGGGGCUCCGCGGCGGGCGCCGGCCGUGAAAACGACCAAACACAAACGCAAGGUUGACCUCGGAUCAGGUAGGAAUACCCGCUGAACUUAA
rnacentral:misc_RNA from 1 species